AUACGGAGGAUCCGAGCGUUAUCCGGAUUUAUUGGGUUUAAAGGGUGCGCAGGCGGCCAUUUAAGUCAGCGGUUAAAUCGUGGGGCUCAACCCCAUUCUGCCGUUGAUACUGGGUGGCUUGAUUGCGGUCGAGAUUGGCGGAAUUCGUUGUGUUGCGGUGAAAUGCAUAGAUAUGACGAAGAACACCGAUUGCGUAGGCAGCUGACCAGACCGCAAAUGACGCUCAUGCACGAAAGUGCGGGGAUCGAACAGGAUUAGAUACCCUGGUAGUCCGCACAGUAAACGAUGAAUACUUGUUUUCGGCGAUAUAAUGUCGGAGGCAAAGCGAAAGCGAUAAGUAUUCCACCUGGGGAGUACGCCGGCAACGGUGAAACUUAAAGGAAUUGACGGGG
rnacentral:rRNA from 1 species